GGUUAAGCGACUAAGCGUACACGGUGGAUGCCCUGGCAGUCAGAGGCGAUGAAGGACGUGCUAAUCUGCGAUAAGCGUCGGUAAGGUGAUAUGAACCGUUAUAACCGGCGAUUUCCGAAUGGGGAAACCCAGUGUGAUUCGUCACACUAUCAUUAACUGAAUCCAUAGGUUAAUGAGGCGAACCGGGGGAACUGAAACAUCUAAGUACCCCGAGGAAAAGAAAUCAACCGAGAUUCCCCCAGUAGCGGCGAGCGAACGGGGAGCAGCCCAGAGCCUGAAUCAGUGUGUGUGUUAGUGGAAGCGUCUGGAAAGGCGCGCGAUACAGGGUGACAGCCCCGUACACAAAAAUGCACAUGCUGUGAGCUCGAUGAGUAGGGCGGGACACGUGGUAUCCUGUCUGAAUAUGGGGGGGCCAUCCUCCAAGGCUAAAUACUCCUGACUGACCGAUAGUGAACCAGUACCGUGAGGGAAAGGCGAAAAGAACCCCGGCGAGGGGAGUGAAAAAGAACCUGAAACCGUGUACGUACAAGCAGUGGGAGCACGCUUAGGCGUGUGACUGCGUACCUUUUGUAUAAUGGGUCAGCGACUUAUAUUCUGUAGCAAGGUUAACCGAAUAGGGGAGCCGAAGGGAAACCGAGUCUUAACUGGGCGUUAAGUUGCAGGGUAUAGACCCGAAACCCGGUGAUCUAGCCAUGGGCAGGUUGAAGGUUGGGUAACACUAACUGGAGGACCGAACCGACUAAUGUUGAAAAAUUAGCGGAUGACUUGUGGCUGGGGGUGAAAGGCCAAUCAAACCGGGAGAUAGCUGGUUCUCCCCGAAAGCUAUUUAGGUAGCGCCUCGUGAAUUCAUCUCCGGGGGUAGAGCACUGUUUCGGCAAGGGGGUCAUCCCGACUUACCAACCCGAUGCAAACUGCGAAUACCGGAGAAUGUUAUCACGGGAGACACACGGCGGGUGCUAACGUCCGUCGUGAAGAGGGAAACAACCCAGACCGCCAGCUAAGGUCCCAAAGUCAUGGUUAAGUGGGAAACGAUGUGGGAAGGCCCAGACAGCCAGGAUGUUGGCUUAGAAGCAGCCAUCAUUUAAAGAAAGCGUAAUAGCUCACUGGUCGAGUCGGCCUGCGCGGAAGAUGUAACGGGGCUAAACCAUGCACCGAAGCUGCGGCAGCGACGCUUAUGCGUUGUUGGGUAGGGGAGCGUUCUGUAAGCCUGUGAAGGUGUGCUGUGAGGCAUGCUGGAGGUAUCAGAAGUGCGAAUGCUGACAUAAGUAACGAUAAAGCGGGUGAAAAGCCCGCUCGCCGGAAGACCAAGGGUUCCUGUCCAACGUUAAUCGGGGCAGGGUGAGUCGACCCCUAAGGCGAGGCCGAAAGGCGUAGUCGAUGGGAAACAGGUUAAUAUUCCUGUACUUGGUGUUACUGCGAAGGGGGGACGGAGAAGGCUAUGUUGGCCGGGCGACGGUUGUCCCGGUUUAAGCGUGUAGGCUGGUUUUCCAGGCAAAUCCGGAAAAUCAAGGCUGAGGCGUGAUGACGAGGCACUACGGUGCUGAAGCAACAAAUGCCCUGCUUCCAGGAAAAGCCUCUAAGCAUCAGGUAACAUCAAAUCGUACCCCAAACCGACACAGGUGGUCAGGUAGAGAAUACCAAGGCGCUUGAGAGAACUCGGGUGAAGGAACUAGGCAAAAUGGUGCCGUAACUUCGGGAGAAGGCACGCUGAUAUGUAGGUGAAGUCCCUCGCGGAUGGAGCUGAAAUCAGUCGAAGAUACCAGCUGGCUGCAACUGUUUAUUAAAAACACAGCACUGUGCAAACACGAAAGUGGACGUAUACGGUGUGACGCCUGCCCGGUGCCGGAAGGUUAAUUGAUGGGGUCAGCGCAAGCGAAGCUCUUGAUCGAAGCCCCGGUAAACGGCGGCCGUAACUAUAACGGUCCUAAGGUAGCGAAAUUCCUUGUCGGGUAAGUUCCGACCUGCACGAAUGGCGUAAUGAUGGCCAGGCUGUCUCCACCCGAGACUCAGUGAAAUUGAACUCGCUGUGAAGAUGCAGUGUACCCGCGGCAAGACGGAAAGACCCCGUGAACCUUUACUAUAGCUUGACACUGAACAUUGAGCCUUGAUGUGUAGGAUAGGUGGGAGGCUUAGAAGUGUGGACGCCAGUCUGCAUGGAGCCGACCUUGAAAUACCACCCUUUAAUGUUUGAUGUUCUAACGUUGACCCGUGAUCCGGGUUGCGGACAGUGUCUGGUGGGUAGUUUGACUGGGGCGGUCUCCUCCUAAAGAGUAACGGAGGAGCACGAAGGUUGGCUAAUCCUGGUCGGACAUCAGGAGGUUAGUGCAAUGGCAUAAGCCAGCUUGACUGCGAGCGUGACGGCGCGAGCAGGUGCGAAAGCAGGUCAUAGUGAUCCGGUGGUUCUGAAUGGAAGGGCCAUCGCUCAACGGAUAAAAGGUACUCCGGGGAUAACAGGCUGAUACCGCCCAAGAGUUCAUAUCGACGGCGGUGUUUGGCACCUCGAUGUCGGCUCAUCACAUCCUGGGGCUGAAGUAGGUCCCAAGGGUAUGGCUGUUCGCCAUUUAAAGUGGUACGCGAGCUGGGUUUAGAACGUCGUGAGACAGUUCGGUCCCUAUCUGCCGUGGGCGCUGGAGAACUGAGGGGGGCUGCUCCUAGUACGAGAGGACCGGAGUGGACGCAUCACUGGUGUUCGGGUUGUCAUGCCAAUGGCACUGCCCGGUAGCUAAAUGCGGAAGAGAUAAGUGCUGAAAGCAUCUAAGCACGAAACUUGCCCCGAGAUGAGUUCUCCCUGACCCUUUAAGGGUCCUGAAGGAACGUUGAAGACGACGACGUUGAUAGGCCGGGUGUGUAAGCGCAGCGAUGCGUUGAGCUAACCGGUACUAAUGAACCGUGAGGCUUAACCUU
rnacentral:rRNA from 1 species